rnacentral:rRNA from 1 species
UCGCCUGUUUAUCAAAAACAUGUCUUCUUGACAAUAAUUUGAAGUCUGACCUGCCCGCUGAACAUAAAGUUUGAAGGGCCGCGGUAUUUUGACCGUGCAAAGGUAGCAUAAUCAUUAGUCUUUUAAUUGGAGGCUAGUAUGAAUGGUUGGACGAGGCACUGACUGUCUCAGUAUAAAUGAAAUUAGAAUUUAACUUUUGAGUCAAAAGGCUUAAAUGUAAUUAAAGGACGAGAAGACCCUAUAGAGCUUUAUAUUUAAAUAUUAUUAUUUGUUUAGGAGAUUUAUUAUAAUAAUUGAAUUAAAUAUUUUGUUGGGGUGACAGGAAGAUAUAAUAAACUCUUUUUAGUUUAGUUACAUUGAUUUAUGAAUUGUUGAUCCAUUAUUAGUGAUUAUAAGACUAAGUUACCUUAGGGAUAACAGCGUAAUCUUUUUUGAGAGUUCUUAUCGACAAAAAGGGUUGCGACCUCGAUGUUGGAUUAAGGGUAAUUUUGGGUGUAGAUGUUCAAAAUUUAGGUCUGUUCGACCUUUGAAUCCUUACAUGAUCUGAGUUCAAACCGGAGA